rnacentral:rRNA from 1 species
UUCAAAGAUUCGAUGAUUCACUGAAUUCUGCAAUUCACAUUACUUAUCGCAUUUCGCUGCGUUCUUCAUCGAUGCGAGAGCCAAGAAAUCCGUUGUUGAAAGUUGUAUUUCGUUUCGCCCGCAAGGAGCGGUACAAUCUACAUAGACGAUUAAAGUGUGUAUGAUGGAGUGAAGGUGAUGUUCAAUCCCGAUCAAAUUCAGAAAGUGUGCUAUGCUAGUUUUUAAGUUGAGGGGAGAAAGGGUAGGGACUGGUUU